UGCAUUGUAUUUUGUAUUUUACUUUCAUGG
rnacentral:piRNA from 1 species